UUGUUUCUGCUCUAGAUUAAAAGGUGUUCCAUAACGGCAGGUCGGGCGCUUCUGCGCAUCAUCUUUGCCGACCAGUCUGACUCUAGACAACUGACCCUGGAUUCGGGAAUCCCAGCAACAGUUGAAGAACUGCACACAUUUGUCAAGACAUCUCUUCAAUUGAAAGAGGACUUCCGUCUGCAAUACAUGAAUGUUGACUUUAACGAGUUCAUGAAUCUUACAUCAGUGUCUGAAAUUCAGGAUAAAAGCACACUGAAAGUAAUUUACUCUCCUAUAUUGUCAAAUAUUGAGCCCUCCAUCACUUUGUACACAGUUGACUCAUUUGAUAAGACCUCAAUUACUGGAAGCUCAGAGCCUCUAAUCCCUGCAUCAUCAAUAGCCUCAUGCUGCAGUGACGAUAUGGUGUAUACGUCAACCCCGCAUCCAUCCCCUGAAGCUCAGGCCUCACAAUUGUUAUCCUGGCCCACAGUUUUUGUGGUUCCUAAGCUCACCUACGAGGCUGAAUUUGAGCUUCAUCUACAGAAUGCAGAGUUUGAGACAACUGGUACAUACUUCCAGCCUGGCCUAAAGCUGAAAGGAGUCAUUCUUGAUGGCCUAGCCCAAGAAAUGAUCAAAUUCACAAAAUAUCCAAAAGACUAUCAGUGUGAAGAGGUAGCUGCAGCGUUGACGAGGGCCCACCCUUGUUUGGGGCAGCUAGGAUCCAAGACAGGAUUUGGGGGGUGGAAACAGUCUCUUAAGUACAAAAUGCAAAACUAUCGUACAAAGCUUGGCCGUCUUGGACAUCCUGAAAUCCUUGUGAACUCCUUAAAGCACAAGAAAACAGGCCAAGGCAAAGCUGCAGCAAACAUAAAAAAACCAAGAAAAGCUGAAAUAAACUACAUUCCUCUGCACCCAAAAGGCGAAACCACAGAAAGCUUGGAGAACGAGAGAAUUGCCUUAUUGUCAGAACUGAAAAAGCGUGACAAUGAAGUGGUGAUAAAAGCAAAAAUGGAAAAAACCUUCUCCCACAGACGCCUUGAGAUUGUGGAGCAAAGGCCUUUGAUAGGGGACUUCAAAUGCAGAUGGCCUGCUCUGUUUCAGCAGAGUGAAGUAAGUACAUAUUUGUAUUUGUUGACAGUCUUUUAUUAUUGUCCUUUGUGAUUCAUGUCUACAUCCUUGCAUGGUUGUGAUUCUAAUAAACAAGUAACAAUUGGUUGUAUUGUGCUUGUUAAUAAUAUUUUUAAGGUGAAUGCGGAGUUUUUGAGGAUCACAACAUCACCACUUCAAUCAAAGUUCAUGUGGCAGCUGGACCACUUCUCAGACAAGCUCUUGAAGGUCUUCAAGAUCAAAGGAGGACUAAAGGGCCACAAAAUCAAGGAAGCCCGUGCAAUAUCAGAUUUGUUUGAAAACAUCCACAUCAAGAGGGGGUGCAUCCUGCGAAGCAUCGCGAUCUACCUCAACGAGGAUCCAGACUCUUUUUUUAAGGAGUAUCAGGCCUCUGCCUCUGAAGAUGCCAAGAGGGACAUGGCAAACACAGUCAUGGGCAUAUACACACUUCAAAGAGAUGUGGAUGGGCAGCCAGAGGACGUGGGAAUUGUCAUCGAAGGCAAUAUAGUCAUGGACAACUUGGGCAGCGUGAUUGUGGGGUUUGUCAUGCUAUUGGGACUUAUUUAUGCCCUGGAUUUGAGCUUUCCGGACAACCUCAAACACACCUUCGAGUUCAUGCAGAAGGUAGUGAUGAAUCUGGAUGGGCACAAGCUGAAUGGUAAAAUCGAAAGUCUGAAGAUCAAGAAGUUCGAUUGAAAUGUGAAAAAGAAGUGACUCAUGAGUUCAUUGUUGUCAUUUUAUUCACGAGUUUCCUAAUCAGAGCAGAUUGAGCCGUUAUAUCAAUCAUUUGUUCUGUGCUUUUCUGUAUUUGUUUCAACACACUGUAACACUAUUUCCAUAUGUUGGUGUUUGCAGUGCACUCUUCAUGUUAUGUGUUAUUGUCCUGUUAGAAGAGCAGUGCAUACCCCUGUUAUAUUGUAUUCAUUGUAUUUGGCAAAGGGAGAUUUGUAAGUUAAUUAUAGGAGUUCCAUUUCUCUGCCAUUUUAAAAAUGGUAUUAUCUUUCAGAAAUGUUUUUCAUCUUUCAGUGUGAAUUCAUUCAUUUUAAAACACUGUAUUGAAUGGAAUGGAGGAUUGUUUUGAAUCAUGUGAAUUUAAAAAUAAAAAAAACUAAACCAUGUUUUCUCAUGUGUAACACAUUUUUAUUAAAUUAUAUUUAACCUCAUUAUUUCAUUUUCAAUUAAUUAAAUAGGAUUUAGGUGGACUAGCAUUAUCUAAAUUCAUAAAGGUAAUGUUAUCAUUUUACUUAAACUCUAUUUGAAAAAUUUGAGUUGGACUAACUCAUUUACAUUAUACUGCAUGGAUGCCAUUAGUUUGAGUUUGUGCCACAUAUAUUUAUUGGAUGGAAAACCUGCCAACAAUAAAAUUGAGUUAAUCCAAUGAGUUAUUUCUUUGAGUGCAGGUACAGCAAAUGU